AGUGAACGCUGGCGGUAGGCCUAACACAUGCAAGUCGAACGGCAGCACCGUAAGAGCUUGCUCUUACGGGUGGCGAGUGUCGGACGGGUGAGGUAUACAUCGGAAUCUACUUUUUCGUGGGGGCUAACGUAGGGAAACUUACGCUAAUACCGCAUACGACCUACGGGUGAAAGCAGGGGAUCUUCGGACCUUGCGCGAUUGAAUGAGCCGAUGUCGGAUUAGCUCGUUGGCGGGGUAAAGGCCCACCAAGGCGACGAUCCGUAGCUGGUCUGAGAGGAUGUUUAGCCACACGGGAACUGAGAAACGGUCCAGACUCCUACGGGAGGCAGCAGUGGGGAAUAUUGGACGAUGGGCGCAAGCCUGAUCCAGCCAUACCGCGUGGGUGAAGAAGGACUUCGGGUUGUAAAGCCCUUUUGUUGGGAAAGAAAAGCAGCAGGUUAAUACCCCGCUGUUCUGACGGUACCCAAAGAAUAAGCACCGGCUAACUUCGUG
rnacentral:rRNA from 1 species